rnacentral:rRNA from 1 species
AUUGAACGCUGGCGGCAGUCUUAACACAUGAAAGUCGAGCGGGGGAAGGUAGCUUGCUACCGGACCUAGCGGCGGACGGGUGAGUAAUGCUUAGGAAUCUGCCUAUUAGUGGGGGACAACAUCUCGAAAGGGAUGCUAAUACCGCAUACGUCCUACGGGAGAAAGCAGGGGAUCUUCGGACCUUGCGCUAAUAGAUGAGCCUAAGUCGGAUUAGCUAGUUGGUGGGGUAAAGGCCUACCAAGGCGACGAUAUGUAGCGGGUCGGAGAGGAUGAACCGCCACACUGGGACUGAGACACGGCCCAGACUCCUACGGGAGGCAGCAGUGAGGAAUAUUGGACAAUGGGGGGAACCCUGAUCUAGCCAUGCCGCGUGUGUGAAGAAGUCCUUAUGGUUGUAAAGCACUUUAAGCGAGGAGGAGGCUACUCUAGUUAAUACCUAGGGAUAGUGGACGUUACUCGCAGAAUAAGCACCGGCUAACUCUGUGCCAGCCGCCGCCGUAA